rnacentral:sRNA from 1 species
UGUUGAUAUAAAGUGACGAAGCUGAUACCAAGUAGCAGAAAGUGAAGAUACGAGAUUCUCUAGCUACUCUGCAAACCUUCUAA